ACACGACUACAUUAGAUACCCCCUGUAGUCCUAGCCGUAAACGAUACUCGCUAGGUGUCGGCCACGGUGCGACCGUUGUCGGUGCCGUAGGGAAGCCGUGAAGCGAGCCACCUGGGAAGUACGGCCGCAAGGCUGAAACUUAAAGGAAUUGGCGGGGGAGCACAACAACGGGUGGAGCUUGCGGUUUAAUUGGACUCAACGCCGGGAAGCUCACCGGAUAAGACAGCGGAAUGAUUGCCGGGCUGAAGACCCUGCAUGACCAGCUG
rnacentral:rRNA from 1 species